rnacentral:lncRNA from 1 species
UGUGGGUAAUAUAGAUGCAAAUUUAAGGUGUUACUUAAAAAUUUUUAAGUAAUAGUGGUAGUCAAUUCAGUUGCAAAUUAGGGGAUUAUUUUAAAUAUUGUUUAUAAUGGCAUAAGUGGGUAAUUUUGAUGAAGAUUAGGGGUUACUUUAAUUAAUUUUAUAUAAUGGCAGAGGUGGGUAAUUUAUAUAUAGAUUUAGGGGGUUACUUUAGGCUAUUUUCAUAAUGGCAUGGGUGGGUAAUUUUUAAAAAAACAUAAUAGAUCCAAUGGCUAUAAUGAUUUGAAUCUAUCAAUCGAUGGUCGGAUAUUUUUCUUUUUUUGAGAAUUUCUAGGAUUUCUCUCUUUUUCUAGAGUGUCCACCUAGGAAUCCUAGGUGGCUCCACCAGAAGGUUUCAAAAGGAGCCUCCAAUUAGUAAUAGUAAGAUUGCUGCUAGCUCUCGGUACCGUUCAUUUACGGAUGCAUCUUAUUACUGAAAGUUUCGGUAUUUGUUUUAAUAGUAUAUGAUGCUGAGAAACUGUUAUACACAAUUCAUGUGCAGAAGACUUGAUGGAGAAUUGAUGAGAUACCCAUCAGUCUUGUCCACCGAGCCAUCAUUCCGAUAUGUGUUUGGCGCAAAUACAUGGGGCACCGAGAAGUAUCAUCU